GCUCAGGUGGUGGAAUUGGUAGACACGUACGCUUGAGGGGCGUAUGGCGCAAGCCGUGUGGGUUCGAGUCCCACUCUGAGCACCA
rnacentral:tRNA from 1 species